UGGGGAAUAUUGGACAAUGGGCGAAAGCCUGAUCCAGCCAUGCCGCGUGUGUGAAGAAGGUCUUCGGAUUGUAAAGCACUUUAAGUUGGGAGGAAGGGCAGUAAGCGAAUACCUUGCUGUUUUGACGUUACCGACAGAAUAAGCACCGGCUAACUCUGUGCCAGCAGCCGCGGUAAUACAGUGGGUGCAAGCGUUAAUCGGAAUUACUGGGCGUAAAGCGCGCGUAGGUGGUUCGUUAAGUUGAAUGUGAAAGCCCCGGGCUCAACCUGGGAACUGCAUCCAAAACUGGCGAGCUAGAGUAGGGCAGAGGGUGGUGGAAUUUCCUGUGUAGCGGUGAAAUGCGUAGAUAUAGGAAGGAACACCAGUGGCGAAGGCGGCCACCUGGGCUCAUACUGACACUGAGGUGCGAAAGCGUGGGGAGCAAACAGG
rnacentral:rRNA from 1 species